GUUUGAUCCUGGCUCAGGAUGAACGCUGGCGGCGUGCCUAAUACAUGCAAGUCGAACGCUUCACUUCGGUGAAGAGUGGCGAACGGGUGAGUAAUACAUAAGUAACCUGGCAUCUACAGGGGGAUAACUGAUGGAAACGUCAGCUAAGACCGCAUAGGUGUAGAGAUCGCAUGAACUCUAUAUGAAAAGUGCUACGGGACUGGUAGAUGAUGGACUUAUGGCGCAUUAGCUUGUUGGUAGGGUAACGGCCUACCAAGGCGACGAUGCGUAGCCGACCUGAGAGGGUGACCGGCCACACUGGGACUGAGACACGGCCCAGACUCCUACGGGAGGCAGCAGUAGGGAAUUUUCGGCAAUGGGGGAAACCCUGACCGAGCAACGCCGCGUGAAGGAAGAAGUAAUUCGUUAUGUAAACUUCUGUCAUAGAGGAAGAACGGUGGAUAUAGGGAAUGAUAUCCAAGUGACGGUACUCUAUAAGAAAGCCACGGCUAACUACGUGCCAGCAGCCGCGGUAAUACGUAGGUGGCGAGCGUUAUCCGGAAUUAUUGGGCGUAAAGAGGGAGCAGGCGGCACUAAGGGUCUGUGGUGAAAGAUCGAAGCUUAACUUCGGUAAGCCAUGGAAACCGUAGAGCUAGAGUGUGUGAGAGGAUCGUGGAAUUCCAUGUGUAGCGGUGAAAUGCGUAGAUAUAUGGAGGAACACCAGUGGCGAAGGCGACGAUCUGGCGCAUAACUGACGCUCAGUCCCGAAAGCGUGGGGAGCAAAUAGGAUUAGAUACCCUAGUAGUCCACGCCGUAAACGAUGAGUACUAAGUGUUGGGUGUCAAAGCUCAGUGCUGCAGUUAACGCAAUAAGUACUCCGCCUGAGU
rnacentral:rRNA from 1 species